AACUCCCUGGUGUGUGCGCCAGUUGGCACGUCCCUCUCCCGAUAAGCAAAACUUCUGGAGGCCGUACGUGCAGCCCGUGUGCAUAUCCGCUCGACGGAGAGCCUUAAGGUUGCCGGCGGUCGCCACCUUGAACUCUCGGGUUCAAGGGUCACGCCGACAGCGGCAUGCCGGGGAGUCG
rnacentral:other from 2 species